rnacentral:rRNA from 1 species
GAACCUGAGAGUUUGAUCCUGGCUCAGAGCGAACGCUGGCGGCAUGCUUAACACAUGCAAGUCGCACGGGCACUUCGGUGUCAGUGGC